UAGAGGCUAAACCACCUGUAACUCUAGUCUCAGGGGCUCCAACAUCCGCCCUUGACCUUGGCUGGCACUGUAUGCAUGUAGUGCACAAACACGUGACGGAGGAACACAUAAAAGGCUUGUAUGUGUUAUCAUUUAAGGUCACUGUUCCCAAUUAAAAGCCUUCAACCAUGAUUUUCAUCAUUGGAAAUAGAAUUGAAUGGCCACCCUGUGUUGUGGGAACUGAGAAGGGCAAUAUAAACCUGAGAGGUUCCUUUGUGUGGUGGGGCCUGAAGAAGAAAGCCCCACGGCUGGACAGCUGUUCUCUCCUCCUAUCCCACCGCUUCCCCUAAUAAAGGGACUGUUCUUUUGAU
rnacentral:lncRNA from 1 species